rnacentral:rRNA from 1 species
UACGAAGGGUGCUAGCGUUGUUCGGAAUCACUGGGCGUAAAGCGCGCGUAGGCGGCUUUUCAAGUCAGGGGUGAAAUCCUUGGGCUCAACCCAAGAAUUGCCUUUGAAACUGUAAAGCUGGAGUACUGGAGGGGAUAGCGGAAUUCCUAAUGUAGAGGUGAAAUUCGUAGAUAUUAGGAGGAACACCGGUGGCGAAGGCGGCUAUCUGGACAGUAACUGACGCUGAGGCGCGAAAGCGCGGGGAUCAAACAGGG